rnacentral:rRNA from 1 species
GCGCAGCAGGCGCGAAAAACUUCACACUGUGCGAAAGCACGAUGAGGGAAUCCCAAGUGCUUGCACGUAAGUGUAAGCUGUUUCUCUGUCUAAAACGCAGAGAGAGUAAGGGCUGGGUAAGACGGGUGCCAGCCGCCGCGGUAAUACCUGCAGCUCAAGUGGUGACCGUUAUUAUUGGGCCUAAAACGUCCGUAGCCGGUUUAAUAAAUGCCUGGGUAAAUUGUGUAGCUUAACUAUACGAAUUCCGGGUAGACUGUUAAACUUGAGACCGGGAGAAGUUAGAGGUACUCCUGGGGUAGAGGUGAAAAUUCUGUAAUCCUAGGGGGACCACCACGUGG